rnacentral:rRNA from 1 species
UACAGGGGGGGCAAGCGUUGUUCGGAAUUACUGGGCGUAAAGGGUCCGCAGGUGGCAAUGUGUGUCUGCUGUCAAAGAAUGAGGCUUAACCUCAUCAAGGCAGUGGAAACUACAUAGCUAGAGUACGGUCGGGGUAGAAGGAAUUCCUGGUGUAGCGGUGAAAUGCGUAGAGAUCAGGAAGAACACCGGUGGCGAAAGCGUUCUGCUAGACCUGUACUGACACUGAGGGACGAAAGCUAGGGGAGCGAAUGGG